CCGAGUGAGGGCCCCCGGCCCGACCUCCAACCCUUUGUUGACCAACACCUGUUGCCUCGGGGGCGACCCGGACGCCGACGCGUCGGCCGUCGGGCACCCCGGUGGACCAACCAACUCUGUUAUCUGUACGUCAGAGUACUUGAUGAAUCAAUCA
rnacentral:misc_RNA from 1 species